GAUGAACGCUAGCGGCAGGCCUAAUACAUGCAAGUCGAACGGUAAAUAUUUUAGCAAUAGAAUAUGAGAGUGACGUACGGGUGCGUAACACGUAUGCAACCUACCCUUUACAGGAGGAUAGCUCGGGGAAACUCGAAUUAAGCCUUCAUAGAAUAAUUGGAUGGCAUCAUUUGAUUAUUAAAACUGAGGUGGUAAAGGAUGGGCAUGCGUCUGAUUAGUUAGUUGGCGGGGUAACGGCCCACCAAGACGAUGAUCAGUAGGGGAACUGAGAGGUUGAUCCCCCACACUGGCACUGAGAUACGGGCCAGACUCCUACGGGAGGCUG
rnacentral:rRNA from 1 species